rnacentral:rRNA from 1 species
GAUGAACGCUAGCUACAGGCUUAACACAUGCAAGUCGAGGGACCGGCGCACGGGUGAGUCACACGUAUCCAACCUGCCCUUUACUCGGGGCUAGCCUUUCGAAAGACAGAUUAAUACCCGAUGUAAAGGAUGGGGAUGCGUUCCAUUAGGUUGUUGGUGAGGUAACGGCUCACCAAGCCUUCGAUGGAUAGGGGGUCUGAGAGGAAGGACCCCCACAUUGGAACUGGGACACGGUCCAAACGCCUACGAGAGGCAGCAGUGAGGAAUAUAGGUCAAGGGGCGUUAGCCUGAACCAGCCAAGUAGCGUGAAGGGUGAAGGGUUAUGAGUCGUAAUCUUCUUAUAUAUAAGAAUAGGUAUUAUAUGAAUAAGGAUCGGCUAACUCCGUGCCAGCAGCCGCGGUAAUUC